rnacentral:rRNA from 1 species
AGCAUGUGGUUAAUUCGAAGCAACGCGAAGAACCUUACCAGGUCUUGACAUCCGAUGCUAUUUCUAGAGAUAGAAAGUUACUUCGGUACAUCGGUGACAGGUGGUGCAUGGUUGUCGUCAGCUCGUGUCGUGAGAUGUUGGGUUAAGUCCCGCAACGAGCGCAACCCUUAUCAUUAGUUGCUACGCAAGGGCACUCUAAUGAGACUGCCGGUGACAAACCGGAGGAAGGUGGGGAUGACGUCAAAUCAUCAUGCCCCUUAUGACCUGGGCUACACACGUGCUACAAUGGUUGGUACAACGAGUUGCGAGUCGGUGACGGCGAGCUAAUCUCUUAAAGCCAAUCUCAGUUCGGAUUGUAGGCUGCAACUCGCCUACAUGAAGUCGGAAUCGCUAGUAAUCGCGGAUCAGCACGCCGCGGUGAAUACGUUCCCGGGCCUU